rnacentral:rRNA from 1 species
ACAGCAGCCGCCGCGGGAAUACGGAGGGUGCAAGCGUUAAUCGGAAUUACUGGGCGUAAAGCGCACGCAGGCGGUUUGUUAAGUCAGAUGUGAAAUCCCCGAGCUUAACUUGGGAACUGCAUUUGAAACUGGCAAGCUAGAGUCUUGUAGAGGGGGGUAGAAUUCCAGGUGUAGCGGUGAAAUGCGUAGAGAUCUGGAGGAAUACCGGUGGCGAAGGCGGCCCCCUGGACAAAGACUGACGCUCAGGUGCGAAAGCGUGGGGAGCAAACAGGAUUAGAUACCCGUGUAGUCCCUGUCUCUUAUAC